UAGUGACCAACUCGCCUAGUAAGGCGGGAACUACCGUAGAAGACGGACUAAUACCGCAUAAUACUAAAUUACUGCAUGGUAAUUUAUUUAAACAUUUAUGGCUUACAGAUGGGCAUGCGCAUGAUUAACUAGUUGGAGAGGUAACGGCUCCCCAAGGCAACGAUCAUUAGGGGUUCUGAGAGGAAGGUCCCCCACACUGGUACUGAGACACGGACCAGACUCCUACGGGAGGCAGCAGUGAGGAAUAUUGGUCAAUGGACGAGAGUCUGAACCAGCCAAGUCGCGUGCAGGAAGAAUGUCCUAUGGAUUGUAAACUGCUUUUGCAGGGGAAUAAAGUGCAUCACGUGUGAUGUUUUGUAUGUACUCUGCGAAUAAGGAUCGGCUAACUCCGUGCCAGCAGCAGC
rnacentral:rRNA from 1 species